GAUUAGGGUUUUUGGAGGUUGCCAAUAAAUCAAGACGACGAAGACGGCUUAGAAGACAGAAGCCCGAGGCCGAGCGCUUCCCUCUUGAGUUAGGGGUGGCGUGGUAUUCCACAGGGAGAGGUUUUUGAAAUUGUGGCGCACUCUCAGUGCGUUGGGCUUACAUUAUCACCUUCUGGUGGGGGCUUCCAUGGCCGCUUUGCUGCCCUAGCUUUCGCAGUCAAAGCGAGGGGUUUCGCCCUACAUUCAAUUCAUUCGCUUUGGAUUUUUCUUCUUUUCUUUUUCAAACUUCAUUCUUACGAAAUUCGCUUUCCUGAUUCAUCUGAGACGUAACUUGGAUUUUUUAGUUAUAUGCAUUUCCAAAUUUUAUUGCUUCUUUCUCUGCAAAAAUGUAUAUUUGUUUUUAAUAAGCGGCGGAGAAGAAUAAAUUUGAAUUGUUAUUAUACAUGUAUAUGUUUUCGGGUUUCAUUCAAAUGAUACGAAGGAUGCAGGAAAGUUAAAAUCACGUUUCCGAAAAUUGAUCAAUUGCAUCCGCCGGUAUUUUGAUUGAACUUGUUUGAAUAUCUCAAAUAAAUGUAUGUAUACUUGUAGAAGCUUCUUCUUUCCUGCUCCCUCGCGCUUGUUUUUGGUGUCGGGUUGCAAAACACCAAUCUGGGCUCCGUGUGGACGCAGGUUUUGGAACUGCUGCUGCUAAGAAUGGUUUUUAUGUACGUCUAUCAUCUGACUAUUGCACCGGAUAAUGCACGCUUCAUUCAUCUGGAAACAAGAACAGAAGCUUUUUCAAUUGUUGAUUGAGGUCCUGGGAUUUCAACGUGUGAUUUCGUAUCAUCGCUGUCCUGCUCAUUUACCAGAUUGGUUGUGGUGUUUGGUUGUUGUUCCGGAUAGAGUUCAUUGGACAUAUCCAAGAUUAAUGGGUAUGCUUCGGAUGCUUCAAAAGGCUCGGUGAAAUCAUAUUUUCUCCUUUGCUGCUUUCGAAUACCAUAAUCCUGCGCGCUUGAAUUGGCUGGAAUGUCCGCAUGGCCAAUCUGUUUUUUUGUUGAUUCUAAGGUAAAAUUUGCAAACGAUGGAUCCAGAGCACUUAUUUGGCUCUUAAGACCAUCCGAUAUUGUAGACGUAGCUUCCUCUUUUCGCUUCUUUACCCAAGCAAAGCCACUAGAUGAUGAGACGGGUAUUGGGGCUGUGAAUGCGCUAUCUCCUCUUUGAGGUGCAGUCGCGGCCUGGGAAGUCAUUGAUGUUGCAUCAUAUAGUGGCUUCUGAGGCUCUCUCUGGAAAACGUCGCCUUGUUCAUUGGAAAGAUUGGCAGAAUUACUGCCAUUGUUCCGUCGAGAAGGUUGACUGUUUUCUUCUGCUUCCUGAGAGGAAAAAUCUCCACGUUGGGAAGGGAAGGAGUAAUGUAAGAAUUUAAAGUAACGUGGGAAGGGAGGAAUGGUAAGGAAGGAGAAACCUCUUUUAUUGGUACUUUAUGGCUGUUGAAUUCUGGGACAUUUCUUCGGACUUUUUUAGGCCUUUGUGUUGCCCCUGUUUCUUUUGCUUUUGCAUUAGCUCGCAUCCUGCAAGUUUCCAUAGGUAUAGUGUUCUUCAGAAUAUAUUGAAGAUACUGGAUUUUGGAGUCAAGUUAGUGAGGCAGAGUGAAAGAUUCACCUUAGCGCAUCUUCACGAUUUUUGGCAUCCAUUUCUUUGUUUGGAGGAUACUUGGGCAAUGUCGAUGGAUCGCAAGCGUAUGGCUUCGUUUUGAAAUACUGGAAAGGAA